rnacentral:lncRNA from 1 species
UAAUCAAUGAGCCCUUUGCCUGGUUCAUUGUUGGUUUGGUUUUGACUCUGUGCCUUCCUGGUGGGCAAGACGAAGAAGGGCAAACUAUUUUAUUGGCUAUGAGCUUUGGAGCAACUGUGUACUAACCAGUCCUAUUAUACUCUCAUGUCUCCUGCUACCCAGGCUGGCCUGAGACUCCUUAAGUAUUGAGGAUGACCUUGAAUUGCCGAUCCUCGUACCUCCGCCUCCCUAAUGCUGGUGUGGCUCUAUGCUUGGUUUUCUGCCGUUCAGAGGAUUAAGCAGAGCUGAGGACUAACACUGAGCAAGCACUGGGCCGGUGGAACUACUCCCCAAACCCCAAGCCUUAUGGAGUCCCAAGUUGUCUACAUUCGUACUAGUGUUGGGGCCAAUGGGGAAGGAGAAAGAGACUAGACUUCUCAUUGCCAACCUUAAUAUACAAUUUUCUGGGAGUUAGUUUAUGAGACAUGACCUCUAAAGAUUCUGCCAGUGCCACUUCACACAAAUGGGAGAUGUAGGAAUGGUCCUAACAAGUCUCUUUAGAAGGAACGUUCUAGCACUACUGUAAAAUAUGAACAAUGACGUAAGUAAGCAGAGCUACCUUAGCAUGGGUAGGAAAGUCGGCAUCAUGUCUGUCCGUCCUCCCUUGACUGCCCCUCCCCCAAACACAGAUCUGUAGGUUUACUGAAGUCCUUCUCCAUAUUAAAUAUUAAAUAAUCAAAACCAGCAUCGUUGAGACUUUUUUCUCCUCCCUCCCUGGCAAUUCCUUAUCAAAUAUUUUCUAUCUUGUUCAUAUUUUUGCGUUUUUUUUAAAAACAGGGUCUCUAUUAUAUAGCUCUGGCUUCCCUGUAC